rnacentral:rRNA from 1 species
AUUGAACGCUGGCGGCAGGCCUAACACAUGCAAGUCGAACGGUAACAGGAAGAAGCUUGCUUCUUUGCUGACGAGUGGCGGACGGGUGAGUAAUGUCUGGGAAACUGCCUGAUGGAGGGGGAUAACUACUGGAAACGGUAGCUAAUACCGCAUAACGUCGCAAGACCAAAGAGGGGGACCUUCGGGCCUCUUGCCAUCGGAUGUGCCCAGAUGGGAUUAGCUAGUAGGUGGGGUAACGGCUCACCUAGGCGACGAUCCCUAGCUGGUCUGAGAGGAUGACCAGCCACACUGGAACUGAGACACGGUCCAGACUCCUACGGGAGGCAGCAGUGGGGAAUAUUGCACAAUGGGCGCAAGCCUGAUGCAGCCAUGCCGCGUGUAUGAAGAGGGCCUUCGGGUUGUAAAGUACCUUCAGCGGGGAGGAAGGGAGUAAAGUUAAUACCUUUGCUCAUUGGCGUUACCCGCAGAAGAAGCACCGGCUAACUCCGUG